UACGUAGGGUGCAAGCGUUUGUCCGGAAUUAUUGGGCGUAAAGAGCUCGUAGGCGGUCUGUCGCGUCUGCUGUGAAAACUCAGGGCUUAACCCUGAGCUUGCAGUGGGUACGGGCAGACUAGAGUGCGGUAGGGGGAGACUGGAAUUCCUGGUGUAGCGGUGAAAUGCGCAGAUAUCAGGAGUAACACCGGUGGCGAAGGCGGUUCUCUGGGCAUUACCUGACGCUGGAGGAGCGAAAGCAUGGGGAGCGAACAGG
rnacentral:rRNA from 1 species